rnacentral:rRNA from 1 species
UGGUGGGUAGUUUGACUGGGGCGGUCUCCUCCUAAAGAGUAACGGAGGAGCACGAAGGUUGGCUAAUCCUGGUCGGACAUCAGGAGGUUAGUGCAAUGGCAUAAGCCAGCUUGACUGCGAGCGUGACGGCGCGAGCAGGUGCGAAAGCAGGUCAUAGUGAUCCGGUGGUUCUGAAUGGAAGGGCCAUCGCUCAACGGAUAAAAGGUACUCCGGGGAUAACAGGCUGAUACCGCCCAAGAGUUCAUAUCGACGGCGGUGUUUGGCACCUCGAUGUCGGCUCAUCACAUCCUGGGGCUGAAGUAGGUCCCAAGGGUAUGGCUGUUCGCCAUUUAAAGUGGUACGCGAGCUGGGUUUAGAACGUCGUGAGACAGUUCGGUCCCUAUCUGCCGUGGGCGCUGGAGAACUGAGGGGGGCUGCUCCUAGUACGAGAGGACCGGAGUGGACGCAUCACUGGUGUUCGGGUUGUCAUGCCAAUGGCACUGCCCGGUAGCUAAAUGCGGAAGAGAUAAGUGCUGAAAGCAUCUAAGCACGAAACUUGCCCCGAGAUGAGUUCUCCCUGAGACUUAGAGUCUCCUGAAGGAACGUUGAAGACGACGACGUUGAUAGGCCGGGUGUGUAAGCGCAGCGAUGCGUUGAGCUAACCGGUACUAAUGGACCGUGAGGCUUAACCUUACAACGCCGAAG